rnacentral:rRNA from 1 species
GACGAACGCUGGCGGCGUGCUUAACACAUGCAAGUCGAACGGAAAGGCCCUGCUUUUGUGGGGUGCUCGAGUGGCGAACGGGUGAGUAACACGUGAGUAACCUGCCCUUGACUUUGGGAUAACUUCAGGAAACUGGGGCUAAUACCGGAUAGGAGCUCUGCUGCAUGGUGGGGGGUGGAAAGGUUCGGCGGUUGGGGAUGGACUCGCGGCUUAUCAGCUUGUUGGUGGGGUAGUGGCUUACCAAGGCUUUGACGGGUAGCCGGCCUGAGAGGGUGACCGGCCACAUUGGGACUGAGAUACGGCCCAGACUCCUACGGGAGGCAGCAGUGGGGAAUAUUGCACAAUGGGCGGAAGCCUGAUGCAGCAACGCCGCGUGCGGGAUGACGGCCUUCGGGUUGUAAACCGCUUUCGCCUGUGACGAAGCGUGAGUGACGGUAAUGGGUAAAGAAGCACCGGCUAACUACGUG